AUUUACAGCUAACAGGGAGCGCCAUGGGAACCAGGUUCGCCCCCAGUUAUGCCAACAUCUACAUGCGAAGAUGGGAAGAUCUUUUUGUGUGGUGCGGGCAUGAUUGGCGGGCGAGCCUGGUCCUAUGGCGGAGAUUUAUUGAUGACGUGAUUGUUAUCUGGAAAGGCACUCAAGAAGAUUUUUUAUCAUUUGUACAAUAUCUUAAUUUAAAUCCUUUUAAUUUAAAAUUUACACCUGAGUGGCAUAAAGAUACCAUAAAUUUUUUAGAACUAAAUUUAUAUUGGGAGCAGAACAAAAUUAGAUCUAGAUGUUUUUUUUAAAACAACUGACGGAAAUAGUUAUGUUCAUAAGUCAAGUUGUCAUCAUCAACCUUGGCUGAGAGGUAUUGCUAAAAGCCAGUUAACAAGGGUACGUAGGAAUUGCUCCAAUGUUCAAGACUUUGAAAUUCAGGCAAAAUAUAUAAAAAACAAAUUGGUAAAUAAAGGUUAUGAUAGUAAUAUGAUUGAAAGGGAAAUUAGAACACUCAAG